rnacentral:rRNA from 1 species
UACGUAGGGAGCAAGCGUUGUCCGGAUUCACUGGGUGUAAAGGGCGCGCAGGCGGGUUGGCAAGUCAGAGGUGAAAUCUCACAGCUUAACUGUGAAACUGCCUUUGAUACUUCCAAUCUUGAGUUAAAGAGAGGUUGAUGGAAUUUCAGGUGUAGCGGUGAAAUGCGUAGAUAUCUGAAAGAACACCAGUGGCGAAGGCGGUCAACUGGCUUUUAACUGACGCUCAGGCACGAAAGCGUGGGUAGCGAACAGG